AAACCAACAGGGAUUGCCUCAGUAACGGCGAGUGAAGCGGCAAAAGCUCAAAUUUGAAAUCUGAGGCUCUCAGCCCCCGAGUUGUAAUUUGAAGAUGGUGUUCUGGCGCCGGCCCCCUGUCUACGUUCCUUGGAACAGGACAUCACAGAGGGUGAGAAUCCCGUCUGGCGGGGCGGCCUGGCUCCGUGUAGAGCGCCAUCGACGAGUCGAGUUGUUUGGGAAUGCAGCUCUAAGUGGGUGGUAAAUUCCAUCUAAAGCUAAAUAUUGGCGAGAGACCGAUAGCGAACAAGUACAGUGAUGGAAAGAUGAAAAGAACUUUGAAAAGAGAGUGAAAAAGUACGUGAAAUUGUUGAAAGGGAAGGGUAUUGGAUCAGACUUGGUGCUGUGCGAAUAGCGGCUCUUCUUGGGCCGCCCACUCGCACUCCACCGGGCCAGCAUCGGUUUGGGCGGCAAGACAAUGGCGGGGGAACGUGGCACUGCUCUCGGGCAGUGUGUUUAUAGCCCCCGCUGAUGUUGCCUGCCUAGACCGAGGACUGCGGCUUCUGCCUAGGAUGCUGGCGUAAUGAUCCAACACCGC
rnacentral:rRNA from 1 species